UGACGAUCUGAGAAGAAAGCAAGUGUAGCGUGUAGCGAAAAUAUUAGUUUAUAUCUAUGGUGUAGUCGAGCGGAGUUAAGCCCUGUCUUAGUUGGUCUUAGUGCGUGGUUAAUUGAAGUCUUUCGGGCGCGCGAGUGUUUACGGACAUAUUUAAAACCGAACAAAUUUUUAUAUGUGCUUUUUUGGCAAUUGGUAAUGGCAUAAAUUACUCCGGAGUUUGCGUCGCUGUGUGUUUGCUCACUCUACGAUGGGAAACAUAACCUCCAAAUGACAGUUUCCUUAAUGUACUGGACUAUAUAAACAAUUUAUUUCCCAUGGAACAGUCACUGUCAAAUAUCAAUGAAGUGGUGAAUAAUAUAGAAAAUAAAACACUAUUAAUAGGAUAUAUGACAAUUCUGUGCUCGCUGGACAACAAGUAGUCAUCCGAGAAAUUUCAGAUCAUCUGUGCUAUCUGGGCGUUUAUCUACCUACCAAAGUUUGAAUUGCAAGCCUAAUAUAUGAUCAACUGGAACCUGUGGUACCAUGGCGAUCGAAUUAAAGUGAUACUAAUUGUAAGUGAAGACCGUGAAGCUGUUGGCACUUCACUUUCGAUCAUUUGCAUAUGCUAGUGGAAGGAGUAGAUAAUCUAAAAAUAUUAACACAAGAAAACAACAUGGAAAAAUUAUUGUACCAUUGCAAGGAGUGAUGCAAAUGAUUUUAACAGUUAUAUGGACAUGUCACAAGUGAAGCAAUUAUCUGAUCAAGGUUCAUCAGAUUCAGCAUAUGUUGGCCUAGCGGAUUUCAAACAGGCCUUUUCGAGUCAAAAUCCAAAAUAUUUCAACCAGUUAACGGAGGGAUGUUUAGUGUUAUCAGAAUUGCAUCCUAAAGUAAAAUCUUUGAAAAUCUUUCUUAAAAAAGAAAAUAUAUACGCAUUACUACCAGUUUACGGAGCAGAGUUUAUACCAAAAACGGAAAAAAUUGUUGAUUUGUUGUCACAUCGUAACAAAAUGGUUACGUUCAGAAAACACAAGUGAUCAGUAAGCGGUCAAUGAUUAUUGGUCCUACUGUUAGAUCUCUAAAUUUAGACCAAUUAUAUUAGUGAAUUACUUAACUGUUGUGCAACGGUUGUGUUUUCUGAACGUAGCCUAUGUUUGCUUAAUUUAAAAGUUUGUACUUACAAAAUUCGUAUCCAUAGCUUAGUAGACAACAGGAACGAACAGUGUCAACUUUUGAAAAUUAGAUUUUGAUUAAUUAAAAGAAAUUGCGCUACGAGAAUUUAAAUUACAUACCCGUGAAGACUCAAUAAGUAAAACAAUAUUAAAAAAUUGUUUUUCGUUCUCGAUAUAAAGUUUAAUUCACAAAUUGAUAUUAAUAUGUGUACUUUAAUUCUGGAAAAAGAUUUCCAGGUCUCUAUAAAAGAACACAUAUAAAAUUUUAUUAAUGAUGUGCAC
rnacentral:lncRNA from 1 species